CCCUUAGAUGUCCUGGGCCGCACGCGCGCUACACUGAUGCAUUCAACGAGUUUUACCUUGGCCGAGAGGCCUGGGCAAUCUUUUAAACCUGCAUCGUGAUAGGGAUAGAUUAUUGCAAUUAUUAAUCUUGAACGAGGAAUUCCUAGUAAACGCAAAUCAUCAAUUUGCAUUGAUUACGUCCCUGCCCUUUGUACACACCGCCCGUCGCUACUACCGAUUGAAUGGUUUAGUGAGGACUCCUGAUUGGCGCCGCCGCCCCGGCAACGGAGCAGCGGACUGCCGAAAAGUUGUUCAAACUUGAUCAUUUAGAGGAAGUAAAAGUCGUAACA
rnacentral:rRNA from 1 species